UUGCAAAACUUUUAAACCAUAAAGUGCUAUACAAAUACUAUUGUUGUUAUUAGAAGUUCUUAAAACCAACACAAAAAUUGUCUUGGGAGUAUAGCUGAGCAUUGGCAAAGCAGAAAGCAGUCUGCUGGUCUGUCUCCUGCUCCUGAACUCAGAGACCUAGGUCUACCCCCCUGAGGACUUAAAGAGGAGGCAGGUUGAGGAAAAGGGCUGCUGUGGUGAAGGGAACUCAGGGAAUGGACUUUAGUGCAUUUAUGAGGGUCAUUUACCAUCUCCCCUUCUAGAGUCAUCAAGGGCAAGAGAUUACACUGAGUAACGUGGCUCCAGAAGACCAUGAAGUGAAGGGAGGUCAGCCUUCCCAGCAUGAUCUUCUGAGUAGGCUCCAUACUCCUUAGUCUCUCCUAGCCAACCUUAGUCAUUGCUUAUGGAAAUGUCUAUCAGGCAAACACGACUGGAAACUGGGUGGAAAUACUUCCUGAACCUAAUGACCGGAACUCAGAACAUCCUACAUUUUUCAGACUCAAUUCUAGUCAUUGAGAAAUGUUUGCUGAAUGGAAAUACAUUUUUGCCAGAGAGCAAACAACGUGCAGACUGCUGGGAGAAAAAGGAGAAUUCUCUUUCAUUGUGGAGACGUUAUCAAGUUCAGGGGUAAAUAUGACUCCAUCCUGGCCGGGCUUGCUACCCCUCUUCUCUUCCCUCUUGCCUUCCUGGUGAUUCUAUUGCUCUCACCAAGUAAUCUCUCUUGUCAAUCAGGUUUUUUCUAUCUCCUUCUCUGUGGAAUGAGGUUCAGCAACGUACUUCAUAAUUGUUUACCGUUUUCUCUUGUGGCUUUAAUGAAUGACUUUUUCUCCACAAAGUCUGAGUCUGAGGGAAUGUUAUAGAUACAAAGGGCUGGCAGGGGAUGUAAAGAGAGACCUUACAGAGCAUUUAAACACCUGGUUUUUGCAAAUGUGGAACCUGAGACCCAAAGAGAAACAGAGAUCACUUAGUAACUCAGGAUCUGCUGGGAUUUGAAGGCAGAUCAGACUCCACAUUGAACAUUCUUUCUACCUCCUUCAUGCAUGUCAAUUCACAUAAGAGAGCUUGCAAGCCACCGAGACGGGAUUUGAACGCAGGCUCUGUGCACUUUGGCGGCCCUUAGCUGUAACUAAAACCGCCCCCCAAGUUUAUUCUGUAUAUCCUGCUUCACAAAAGCCUUUUUGACCAUAAACAGAUCAGUCAAGUCCUCUGAGACUCUGGUGCUCAUCAGCAAGACAGGAACAAUAAUAGCGACCACUUACAUGUCCAUCAAAGUUUGCAAAAGUCUGUGCAUUGUUAUUGUUCAUUUUACAGGUGGGAAAACUGAGGCUUAGAGGAGUUAAAUAACUGAAAGGGUAAAACUCCAUCCCAGCCCCUGUAGGGGACAAGUCCAGUUCUUUUUCUGGUAAAUGAUACUUGGAGAUCCUCCUUCACAGUUUGGAACGCAGCCUCAUCCUGGAAGUGGUCGGGCUUGUUGCUCUCCCCCUGGGAGUGGCUAUUCACUAUAGAACCCAAAUCACCUGAGCCAGUACCUGCCGGCCCCUGGACCACUGAGACAGAUACCCAAGCUACUCCAGGGACAGAUGAAAAUAGGCUUCCCUCAUUCUACCUCCUCCACAUCCAAAUCCGCUAAUCAGCUGCUGCUGGGGAAAUGUUUCGAAAACAAAAAAACAGAAACUGAAAACUUGACUUCCUGUACACCCUGCAAAGGAAGAAGGAGGAAAAAAACUGUGAAUGUGUGAUGAGCAGCUGGCUUUUAUUUUUAAACCCAGCUCAUUGCUAUGUAGAUGUUCUAGAAAAACCAGGAGGACUACAAAGAAAUUCUGACCUACAAGGACUGCAUUUUUCAAGCAGGUGUUAAUGAGGCUGCCGGGUCCUUUCAGGCCCUGGGUUUCACUGUGAAACCUGUUUGUGUGGUAGAGACAAAAAGGAGAGAAUGGUACACAAUGCUGGAAAGCUGGAAAUGGUGGAGGAUGGGAGCUUGUCUCUAAUACAGAGGUGAUGUCUUACCCAGUCUGGGAUAGAGACAGAGGACCCGAUCCAGAUGUGACUUCUGCCGGGCAUGACCUUGGCCAAAGCACCCAGUUUCUUGUUUGGGUCUUUCUCUGAAAAAUGAGGGGCUUGGGCUGAAGAUCUCUCAGCUCUCUUUCAGCCCUGUAAGCCAUCGUCCAUUCACCAAAACGUAAUUCCAUCUUAGCUGCCCAAGAGAAGCAAUGUCAUGACCUGAUGCCCAGAGACCUGACCUUGGCUCUGCCGCUGAUGAUCUUGGAGACUUUAGGCAACUCUGUGGACCUCAGUUUCCCCAUCUGUAAACUGAGAGAUUUCAACUAGGUGAUAGUUAAACUUUCACUUAACUUCAAUGUUCUAGAUCACUCAAGAAGAGUAAAUGUGUUGGUUGAUAGUUGCACACACCAUCCAGCUCCUAAUUUUUUUUACAGGUUCUUAAAUUCUCAUGCAUUUCUAAGGUCCCUAGGGAGGAUUAGAUGAAAAUUUUUAAAAAAUGACUUUUUUUCCACAAAAUACUCAUUCCUGAAUGACUUUGGCAUUAUGUGGUCAACUUACGGCCCUCUCUCCUGCUGACCCUUGAACCAGGACUAGAGAAAUAAGGAGGAGGAGAGAAUAACUCACAUGUACACAUGCUUUACAUGUAUCAUCUCAUGGGAUCAUUAUAAUUCUUCCUAUUUUCCAGAUGAGAAAGUUGAGGCUCAAAAUGUGUGUAUUAGGAAGCUAUCACUGACCUUCCCUCACCCACUCACCCCCUGAUUCCCUGACUUAAUACUGCCAACCAAGGCUUUUAUGAACCAGGAUAUUGUAGAAUAAACUUGGGGGCAGUUUGAGUGACCACCAGGUGGUAAAGUGAUAAAGAGCUAAGCCUGAAAUCAGGAAGAUCCAAAUUCAGCUUAGACACUUACUGGGCAAGUCACUUAAUCUCUGUUUGCCUCAGUGACAAAAGGGAGAGAUAAGGGUACCUACCUCCAGGUUGUUGUAAGGAUCAAAUGCUUGUUUUCUUUCCUCCUUUGUUCCCAGGUAGAAUAACCUGCACUUUGGCCAUUGGUCCUUUGGUUUCAAUCCUGUGCUUUCUGUGGAGUUUCUAAGAUUCCCACAGAACUUUGUACCUUUGGGGCAACUGGAGGCAUCCAAUUCUUGUCCCGGGUCCAAAUGGAAAAGCCUCCUGCCAGAACCAGGACCAGCCUUCAGCCCGGUGGCAAGACUAGGAAGCCAUUGCUUUUUGUCACAGGAUGUUAAGAGCAUUCGAUGGGAAAAUAGACGUGAGACUCGCUCCCUGUUGCCUACAGAGCAAGUCCCAGAAUUGAGAUGCAGAGAUUUCCAGUGGCAGGACAAAGGUCAAGACCAGUGGAGAGGGCCGGGACACAGGGGAUGACCUUGACAUCUUCAAUGUUGGACCGAGUUCUAAGCACCCCCGGCGCCUGCUUCAACCACCCUCGUGGCCGUUGGAACAGAGUGUUCCCAGCUCAUCCCACAGGGAAAGUCUUCCUGUGUUGGGACAGACCACCCCUGCUCACGCUCCGGGGGAGUAGAGACCCCUCAGUUACUGCAGCGCGGUUUACCAUCUGCCACAACUGCACCAGAGAAGCUCCAGCUUCUUGGAGCCACGGGCGAGAGUUGGGUCCGAGUGGCCACCGGCGGUGGAGGAGCCAUCCUGGAAGGGGCUGGACAACCUCCCAGCAGAGGUGCUCCUCCCCCCUGAAUGCCUCUUCAGAAAAUUCUUGCUUAUUAAUGAGAUGAUAUUAGUUUGUGCAUAUUUUGCAUUUUCUCAUCCGUGCAUAUCGUACAUCCCUGAGAAGAACGGAUACUUCUUGGAAGUGGGGACUGUUUUUUGCAUGGCAUUUGUGUCUCCAGUGCUUCAGAUUGUUCAUAAAGUUUCUGGAGGUGAAAAGGAAAGCCUUGCACUUACAGGGUGAUAACGAGUACCGGUGCCGAUUCAGGCAUGUGGCGGGUGGGUCAGUUUGUCCACUGACAGAAGGCCCUCCUCGCUUGUCUUCCCUCCUCAGGGCUGACAAACCUGGCCAGGGUCAGGGAGGGAAGACCGUUGGCUUCCGUGCUCAUCUCCAGGCUCGCCAUGGCAGUGAGAGGGAGACAGCUCAUCUGCUUGGUCAGCAGCAUGUGGGACAGCAGCGUCAGCAUCAAGUUAAUUAGCUAGAGACAAAUUAAAACCAUUUUCAGGAUCAACAACUGUCCUUGUGUCGUUCCCUCUUAACUGCUCGUGUGUUUGACGUGCAAUGCCGGGAGAAGAACCAAAGCUGGCCAGGAACCAGGAGUCUCAAGGAUGCCCUUUGCACUGAGGCAGCCCCCGUCCUCCUAGCUUAGGGGAUCAAAGACAUGGUUAAGAAAAUGUGAGUAAAUGGUAGAGCCGAACAGAGAAUUAUGGUCCAGAUAUGGAAGGGGCAGGGACAAUGGAGAAGUGAGAGAAAAAAGAUAGAACUGAUCUGAAACAAAGGAGGUAGGGAAAGAGGCAAGGGAGGAAGAAAAAAAAAUGAAAUUUAGGAUGUGUGGACUGAAUGAUAGUAAGGAAAUAGAAGAAGGGCUUUAAAAUGACCAGUGGAAGGAGAGCAUGGGAUGGGAGGGCUAUUUGGAGAAGGAAGAGUCUUGGAGCCGUGUAAUUGCAGCAUUAUUGUUAUAUUACAAGAGUUAAAUGACAAAAGGAUAAAUCAGAGACAUGAACUUCCCUCCCCACCCCCAAAGGAAAGAGAAAAGAACAAAUUUUUCUCAUUUCCUCUUUUCUUCAUUCCCUGUCUUCAGUUUCCCAUAGGGCUUUCUCAGUUCACAAUUUUUGCAUGGGAAAUUAAUGAAUUUAAAAUGAAAACUAAAAACAACAGGAAAGGAGCUUCCAUUUCCAUGGAACAUUGUGGUUCAUGAAGUUCUUGUCUCCUAAUAACCCUGGGAGGUGUCUUUGGGGCUACCAAGCAACAAGUAUUUAUUA